CUUCAUCCACCUGCUGAGGACAGAUGAAAUGGAUAUGGGUAUCGAAUCCUCCAGCGGUGAUGAUCUUGUUCUCACCGGCGACCACGUCUGUCGAGGAGCCGACGAGCAUUUCCGGAUGCACGCCGUCCAUAAUAUCGGGAUUUCCAGCCUUGCCAAUGCCGACGAUGAUACCGUUUUUGAUUCCAAUAUCAGCCUUGUAAAUACCGGUCCAGUCGAUAAUAAGCGCAUUCGUGAUAACCGUGUCCAGACACUCUUGGUGGGACUUCUCCGACGAUUGGCCCAUUCCAUCUCGAAUAG
rfam:Aspergillus parasiticus ST-1 410, whole genome shotgun sequence.